GUCUGCCAGUGCGCGCCGGCCACCAGCGAUCAAAGAACGUGUACGUGUAGGUUAUUACAUUAUCGUAAAAUCAAAUAUUUUUCGUCAAAUGUUGACAAGAUGCCUCCCAUCAAAAGGAAGACCUGGGACCACAAUGCCAUGAUACAAGCUGUGGAUGUAGUUCGAAGAAACGAAAUGGGAUACUUAAGAGCUGCAAAACGAUUUGGUGUUCCUAAAG
rnacentral:misc_RNA from 1 species